rnacentral:rRNA from 1 species
AUUGAACGCUGGCGGCAGGCUUAACACAUGCAAGUCCAGCGGGGGAAGGUAGCUUGCUACUGGACCUAGCGGCGGACGGGUGAGUAAUGCUUAGGAAUCUGCCUAUUAGUGGGGGACAACAUCUCGAAAGGGAUGCUAAUACCGCAUACGUCCUACGGGAGAAAGUAGGGGAUCUUCGGACCUCGCGCUAAUAGAUGAACCUAAGUCGGAUUAGCUAGUUGGUGGGGUAAAGGCCUACCAAGGCGACGAUCUGUAGCGGGUCUGAGAGGAUGAUCCGCCACACUGGGACUGAGACACGGCCCAGACUCCUACGGGAGGCAGCAGUGGGGAAUAUUGGACAAUGGGGGGAACCCUGAUCCAGCCAUGCCGCGUGUGUGAAGAAGGCCUUAUGGUUGUAAAGCACUUUAAGCGAGGAGGAGGCUACUUUAGUUAAUACCUAGAGAUAGUGGACGUUACUCGCAGAAUAAGCACCGGCUAACUCUGUGCCAGCCGCCGCGGUAA